rnacentral:rRNA from 1 species
GACGAACGCUGGCGGCGUGCUUAACACAUGCAAGUCGAGCGAAGCACUUUUACGGAUUUCUUCGGAUUGAAGUGAAAGUGACUGAGCGGCGGACGGGUGAGUAACGCGUGGGUAACCUGCCUCAUACAGGGGGAUAACAGUUAGAAAUGACUGCUAAUACCGCAUAAGCGCACAGUACCACAUGGUACGGUGGGAAAAACUCGGGUGGUAUGAGAUGGACCCGCGUCUGAUUAGGUAGUUGGUGGGGUAACGGCCUACCAAGCCAACGAUCAGUGGACUACCGGAGAGGGCGACCGGCCACAUGGGGACGGCGACACGGCCCAAACUCCUACGGGAAGCAGCAGUGGGGAAUAUUGCACAAUGGGGGAAACCCUGAUGCAGCGACGCCGCGUGAAGGAUGAAGUAUUUCGGUAUGUAAACUUCUAUCAGCAGGGAAGAAAGUGACGGUACCUGAGUAAGAAGCCCCGGCUAACUACGUGCCAGCCGCCGCCGUAA